rnacentral:lncRNA from 1 species
UUAAGUUUGAGGUUUGAGGUUCGAGGGUCGAACCAUGUGAUUAGCAAUUACAUACACGAUUGGCAGGGGCGGGAAGUAUUCUGAGGAAGAUGCAAAGGUUGUUAUGGCUCAGAUUUUGAGUGUCGUAGCCUUCUGUCAUCUUCAUGGUGUUGUCCAUCGAGACCUUAAGCCAGAGGUAGUAGAAGUUUGUUUAAUCCACUUGAGAUUUUUUCCUUUUUCCAAUAUCUGAUUAAAGUUUUGGAAUGUCAUUUAUGACUCUAUUAAUAAAUAAUAAUAUGUGCUUGUAACUUUGUGUUUCAGAAUUUUCUUUUCACUUCAAAGGAUGAGACCUCUACCUUGAAAGCCAUUGAUUUUGGCUUGUCCGAUUUUGUAAAGCCAGGUCUGUUUAAUGUAAUCUUGAUUGCGACCUUGUUUUUAGUUGUUUCAAAUAUUUAUUUGGUGAGAUAUUUACACAUAUACCUCCUUAAAAUAUCAUCUCUGUACUUAUAUGUAUCCUUUCAAAAUCUAAAUUUUUAUAUAUGCCCUUUGGAAACUUAAUUUUCUUUGACAUGUAUGCUUUAACUUACAGAAAUUCCCUUCUAAGCACCUUUUUUAAAACAAAGAUAACUUCUUCCCAUGAAUCCGUGACUACGAAAUGUGCAGAUGAAAGGUUAAAUGACAUCGUGGGAAGUGCAUAUUACGUCGCUCCUGAAGUUCUCCAUAGAUCUUAUGGAACCGAGGCGGACAUGUGGAGUAUUGGAGUAAUAGCAUAUAUUUUACUUUGUGGAAGUCGUCCUUUCUGGGCCCGCACGGAGUCGGGCAUAUUUCGAGCAGUCCUAAAGGCGGAACCGAGCUUCGAAGAAGCUCCGUGGCCUUCUCUCUCCGCCGAGGCUAAAGACUUUGUCAAGAGGCUUCUUAAUAAGGAUUACCGCAAGAGAAUGACUGCUUCGCAGGCUCUAAGUAUGUUCCUUGUUAUAUUGCUGUUGUUCAAUUCUUGUGUAGUUAAAAUUUGCUUUUCGUUAAAGCGUAAAUUCCAUUUUCUAAAUUUAGGUCAUCCUUGGAUUCGGAAUUCGCGAGAAGUGAAGAUUCCUUUGGACAUCAUAGUCUAUAGGAUGAUGAGAGCUUAUAUAUGUUCAUCUUCUCUAAGGAAAGCAGCUUUGCGGGUACAAUGAUUUUCCUUCUUCCUAUAAAUAUCUAAGUUAUUUAUCCCCCUGUAGCCCUGCUGGAUAAUUUAGUCCUCUUAUUUGUUCGUACUUACCAUAUUGUAUGUAAUGCAAUGAUUCUGUGCACUUUGUAGUAAGCUUGAUUCUCUUUUUAUCUUUUUUGUGAAUGUUAAGAUGCAGAAAAUGAUUCUCUUUUUAUCUUUUUUGUGAAUGUUAAGACGCAGAAAACUCGGCAUACAACAAAUCAACUGGAAUUUGGAUUGAUAGUUUUCAUUUUGCAGGCCCUUGCCAAAACUUUAACAGUGUCUCAGCUGUCAUAUUUGCGAGAUCAAUUUGGAUUACUGGGGCCGAACAAGAGUGGCUUUAUCUCUAUACAGAAUUUGAAGACGGUUAGUAAUUUCCUGCCAUCAUAUAUGCAUGUGUGCGAGAAAUGUAUAUUUAUUUGUGUGUUCACCUGAGUCAACCUCCGACAGGCUUUCUUGAAAAGCUCGACCGAGACGAUGAAGGAUUCAGGGGUUCUUGAUUUUGUUAACAUGGUAUGUCUCCGCAUCCUAGUACACAAUUGUUACUUCUUAAUCUGAUUGCUCUGAAACAAACUUUCCAAGAAGAUAAUUCGCUCCGAUGACGGUUUUGUAGGUGAGUUCUCUCCACUACAGAAGGUUAGAUUUCGAAGAAUUUGUCGCCUCGGCAAUUAGUGUUUAUCAGAUGGAAGCACUGGAAACGUGGGAGCAGCACGCCCAUCGUGCAUACGAAUUCUUCGACAGGGACGGCAAUCGGCCAAUUAUGAUCGAAGAACUCGCAUCGGUACGAUUCUCAUAAUUAAGUCAUUUUUCUAAGUCAUUUCUAUUUUCACAGUUGAACCCAUUGAUUACUUUAUGGGCUACGAAGAAAAUUAAUAAAAUUUCUAUGUUUUUUUUUUCCCCUUUCUUAGGAACUUGGUCUUAGCCCUUCAGUCCCUGUUCAUGUUGUUCUGAAAGACUGGAUAAAACAUUCCGACGGGAAACUUAGUCUCCUCGGAUUCAUUAAACUUCUACAUGGGGUUUCUUCGCGGUCGAUUCCCAAAGCCUAGCCAAUGAAAGCCUAAUCCUGUGAAUCCCGAAAUUAGCGCAGAUGAUAAGGUGGUGCAGAAACAAGAUCAUCAGCUUUUAUCACAAGACAAACAAGGUCAAUUUUCUGUUUCUUUUUUUUUGUCAGAUUUGUCACUUCUUUUCCCUAUCGAAUGGAUUGAUCACAGAGCGAAGUCGCUCAGAUGAAUGUAUAGAUUCAGGAUAGUAACUAGAAAAGUUAAAAAGUAAAUCCAUGCUAGGUUUAGUUGGUUCUCCUCCCUGUAGACUCUCAAAUCUCAUUACUCAAUUCUCAAUUAUGAGUAGGGAACUUAAAUUUUGGGGGUGAAAUAGUGUCUAGGGCCUUUUUUCUCAUCCUAUGAGGUAUCAAUGUAUGUAACGAUGAUUCUGCCCAGUAGCAUUAAUAACUUGUUGGGUCCAACCACUGGCCUAAGAUGCUUAAGGAAGAGUCCGUACUCCGUUAGUAGUAAUUCCUUUUCCAUCCGAUACAGGAUUAUUGAUGUGUCACCACCCAAGAGAAGCCUAAAAUGUUGUUAACACCAAAACAAACCACAAAAGCUUCAUCUAAAUGAAAACGUUGUCCAUUUUACUAUGAAGUUUAAACAAGUAGACACUAUUGAAGAUAAUGAAAACAUCGAAACAUCGUCCAGGGACACUAUUCAGCAUGCAUCAUGUGAUUGGUCACAUGCAUUGUACCUUCAAGUAUCAUGCUUAGUUAUUUUUGUUUCCUCUUUCAGUUUCUUUCUUCCGAGGGUCAGUUGGUUGAACGUAAUUGUAAAUGCAAUGUAGUUAGAGAUGCAUAUAGUUGAAAACACUGCAUGUACCCUUUUUGGUUGAAUAGAGUGAAUAUUUGGUUUCAUGUGGUUGAAUUUUGUAUUUACAAUUUUUUUUGCUUUUUAUAUGGAAUGGUGAGGUUGCUUUUAAUAUAUAAGGAAAAAUGUCUUCUCUUUAAAAGAUGAUUUAAGGUUGUAAGCUUAUUUUUUAUUUAAAAUUAUUCUCUUUAUUUGUUACAAUUGGAACUGUACCCAAUUUGGACGUAGUCUUAAUUUCUACUGUUGAGCCUCCUUAUGCUUUUCCAACUGCAGUGUUGGAUUUAAAUGGAUCAAAUUAAACACCAUAUCGGAAUUUGUAUGCAGUUAUAAUUACGGUACAGUUGCAACUACAUGUCCUAAGUAAAUUUCUGGUUACUGGGGAUCAUCAAAAAAAAAAAUUCCCUAAAUUAUUCUGUUCUCAGAUGCAGUAAGUGCUUUUUUCUUAAAACAUAUUUCUAUAUACAAAAUUAUACUUGGCCUGGUGACAACAGUAUUUUCUCUUAAGAUAAACCUUUUUGAAUUGGCCUUGUUUAGAUUCUGCAAUAGGAUAAGCUUGGUUCAGAAUAGUAUUAAAGUUGGAAAAUUAACUAGUUUUGAAUCCCUUUUCCCCUCUCUCUCUCUCUCUCUCUCUCUUGGAGAAAAUUGCCUCUGUAUCCUUGUACAAGUCCUAAAUUUUGUAUUUACCCUUUGUUUCAAAUAUAUUCCAGAAAAGUUUUUUUAUGUAUGUACCCCUGUUUUGAGGGUUUACUCAAAACAAUUAGGUGAGUUUAGAAGGAUAGGUUGAGAAUAGUAAAUUUGUACGGGAGAAGUCGGGAACUUUUUAAGAGUAUAUAAGUAAGGAACUAGUUUUGAAUCUUUGGCGAUAACUUGGGUAGUAUAUGAAAAUAUUUUUCUGUAAUUGCAAGUUGAGAGAUACUGCUUUCCAGCUAUUGUUAUGUAAUUAAAUCUUACAUGCACAGUAAUCUCUAUUCCAAAAAAAGUAAUAUAUAUGUUGAUCAUAUUAUUUGAUUAUUGAUACUGUUUUAUUUGUCGAUCAAUUGUGUGGAGAACAUCACCGAUCAUACCUAGCACAGCUUGUUAAGAAUUUGAUAUUUGAUAAUCAAAAUUUCAAGUUUGAAAUCAAGUUGCUUCACAUUUAUAGCUGAGUUCAAAAAAACUAAAUUCAAAGCGGGUAGCAUGCAGUGUCUUUCUCUCUCAAAAAAGAAAAAAAUAUGGAGAACAUCACCCAAAAAAAAAAACAAAUAACCACAAAAAUGUAUUAAAUUUGAAAAUAAAAUAAUAAAAAAAACCUGUUCUGAUGUUCUUCUAUUUGCUGAUAAAUAAAAUUGAUUAUUAAUAGAAAUAAAAUUUUAAGAAAAGGAAUUUUAAAAACUGGAGAUGCGGGGUAUCGAUCCCCGUACCUCUCGCAUGCUAAGCGAGCGCUCUACCAUCUGAGCUACAUCCCCUGCUGGAAAUUUCGUGCAGUAUAAUAUUUAUAUUAUUAAAAUGUAAGAAGUACGCAAUAAUUAUUAUUAAAUAAAUUAAAUAUAAUAUUAUUUUAUAUAUAAAUUGAGAGGUUCUCGAAAUCGAGAGAUCACGCGAGCGGAGGCUACCCCUCGUCCUCCUCCUCCUCUGCUUCACUCUCUCUCUCUCUCUCUCUCUCUCUCUCUCUCUCUCUCUCUCUCUCUCUCUCAUGGCGAUCCCUCGCAUGAAGAAGAGGCCUCGCCCUCUCCUCCUCCUCGCCCUCACCCUCGCCCUCGCCGCUGUGUCCCUCGUCCUCUUCGGGAUCCUCUUCUUCUCCGCCGCAUCCUCGCUCCCCACCCUCGGAUCCCUCCUCUUCUCCUCCCCCGCCCACUGGUCCGCGAGCGGCGGGGGCGGCGGCGGCGGCGGAGGAGGAUUGUACGGCCUCGAGCGGCGGUACCUGUACUGGGGCCACAGGAUCGAUUGCCCCGGCAAGCAUUGCGAGUCGUGCGCGGGGCUAGGGCAUCAGGAGUCGAGCCUCCGAUGCGCCCUCGAGGAGGCCCUCUUCCUUCAGAGGUCGGAUCUCUUCGAUAUCUUUAAUUCGUUUCUUCUUGUGAUUAAUGGUUUAGUAGUAGCUUUACAUUUACUUCGCUGUGUUCUACUGUAAUUAAAUAUCAUCAUUGGGUUUGGUUUGAGAUCUAGUUUUUCUCUAGGUUUAAUUUUUGUAGUUGGAAAUGUAUGGAGACCUUCUCAACUAUAGAUCAUUUUGAAAUAGGCCCCUCGAAGAUCCCAUCAAAUUUUAGUUAUUUUGAUUGGGGUGAUUCUCCUGAGUUUAAUUGGGGAUUUGUCGAAAUUAAUUGCUCUGUUGAAAAAAAAAAGCUUUUAAAACAGUCAAAUUUAAUUUAAUCACCCUUAAAUUUAAUAAAAAUCAAAUAUUGGUUGACGAAAAUAAUGCAGAUCAAAAUAUCAAAGUUAAGAGCAUCUCAAUUGAAAAAAAAAAAAGAAGAAAGAAAAUUGUUUAGUGGUCUAUUCCAACACUGCUUAUAGUUGAUGGGGUCCCUGUUAGUUGUCUUUGUAAGAAAUAUAGAACUUUUGGUCCAACAUGAUAUUUAUUGCUCCUUCCUUGAAUUUAGGUAAAAGCUUAUGGAAACCCCCUCAACUAUAGGCCAUUAUGAAAUGGUCCCCUCAACUUUAAUUUUUUGAUUGAGUAUGCUUGAACUUUUGAUUUGAUUCAAUUGUAUCAAAUAGAUUGGAAAUUUUAUCAGAUCCAUAGGUAUUUUUUCCGAAUUAAUGGCUUUUAGCAUAUAUAACUAGACCAACUAAAGAUUAAUAAUUAACAAAGUUAUUUAAGGGGUCUGUUUUAAAAUAACCUAUACUUGAGGGGGGUGUCCAUACAUUUUACCGAGAAUUUGUUACCUCUUGCUAGUAGUUAUUGUACUUUGGCCUGAUCGUAACCAAGCUUUGCUACGCUUUAACUAUCUCAAGUUUCCUUACAAGAACUAAUUGUGCACACAAUUCUAGUAUGAUCAGGAACUGAAUCUCGGUAAAGUUCUAAGAUUUGUUGUUUCUUUUCUAUGCAGAGUGUUCGUGAUGCCUUCUAGAAUGUGUAUUAGCUCGAUUCAUAACAAGAAGGGAAUCUUGCAUUCCCCUAGUGAUGCAAGUUCAGAGGAAAGGUAAGCUUAUCAAGUACCAGUCGCUAGCUGUUUUAAUUUUUAGUUGUCUGACAGUAUUUAGAGAUAAUAUAUCUGAGAAUUGACAAUUUUAUCAGUAGAUGUCUUACAGCAGCCUCUUGUUAUUUGGUGUGUUUUGAUCACUAAAUCUUUAUGUAUGAUGCAUAAUGUCAUAAUUUUAUUUCUAUCAUUCUUGUGCACUGUUAUUAGCUCAGUUUCUUGUGGACUGUUCAGGUUUUUCUAAUGUAUUGUGCAUUGUUUGAACCAAAUAUAUCAAGUAUGAUUAGUUGUUUCUCAUUUAUACUUCUGCUUUACAUUUGCUUGACCUGGAAAAUAUUUUUGACGUUAAUCAUUUUAAGAAUCUAAUUCUAGCUUAGAGGUAGUUUAUUGUUGUGAAUGGUAGUCAUAUCUUUUACUCUUUAUUCUUUGAUCUGUUUAUGUUGCAACUGUACCCUAAUUAUAGUAGCCAGAAGAGAUGUCAAAGCUAGAUGUUGGCAAUAUGUUUUCAAUUUGCAUUGUAGCAUUUUGACUUCUGUUAAGUGUUAAAAUUUAUGAUUCAAAUUUAAAUGCUUUACAGAUGGGAAGCUAGUUCUUGUGCGAUGGAUUCUUUGUGCGAUGGAUUAUUUGGUGUGUUUUGAUCACUAAAUCUUUAUGUAUGAUGCAUAAUGUCAUAAUUUUAUUUCUAUCAUUCUUGUGCACUGUUAUUAGCUCAGUUUCUUGUGGACUGUUCAGGUUUUUCUAAUGUAUUGUGCAUUGUUUGAACCAAAUAUAUCAAGUAUGAUUAGUUGUUUCUCAUUUAUACUUCUGCUUUACAUUUGCUUGACCUGGAAAAUAUUUUUGACGUUAAUCAUUUUAAGAAUCUAAUUCUAGCUUAGAGGUAGUUUAUUGUUGUGAAUGGUAGUCAUAUCUUUUACUCUUUAUUCUUUGAUCUGUUUAUGUUGCAACUGUACCCUAAUUAUAGUAGCCAGAAGAGAUGUCAAAGCUAGAUGUUGGCAAUAUGUUUUCAAUUUGCAUUGUAGCAUUUUGACUUCUGUUAAGUGUUAAAAUUUAUGAUUCAAAUUUAAAUGCUUUACAGAUGGGAAGCUAGUUCUUGUGCGAUGGAUUCUUUGUACGAUCUAAACCUCAUUUCAAAAGUAGUUCCAGUGAUUUUGGACAACUCCAAUCUGUGGCACCAAAUACUGUCAACAAGUAUGAAACUAGGAAAGAGGGGGGUGGCUCACGUGGAAGGAGUCAACAGAUCUGAUCUCAAAGAAAAUAGCAUGUACUCAAAUGUGCUUCUAAUAAAUCGCACUGCAAGUCCUCUGGCAUGGUAAAAUUUGUUAUUAUUAUUUCAUUAAGUAACCUUUUAUUCCUUCUUCUUGUCAGAUUUAAUAUCUGGGAUGCGUUUCUUUUACUCCUUUAAAUAUCAAAAUCGAUGAAAGAUGCACAAUUUUGCUAGGUGAAUGUUUGAAACAUCAAGCGCUAGUCUUGAUCAUGAUAACCAUCCAGGUUUAUGGAGUGCAAGGAUAGAACCAAUCACAGCUCUAUUUUGCUGUCGCACUCCCUUUUGCCAACCAUGGCAGCUGAAAGAUUGCAAAAUGUGGCAGAUAAAGUAUGUCUUCUUCAGCUUUUUCUUCUUCUUUUUCCCCUUUAAUUUCGUGCUAGGUGAGAGUGUGACUUUCUUUCUUGUCCUGGAAUAUAUGCAGCUUAUCCUUCCCGCUGUUGUCAAUUGUUACUUGUUUCUGAUUUGGAACUUUCGAUAACCCAGCUCUUCCUAUAUUCAUGAUAGACAGGAUGUACACUCAUGUCAUGAUAAACAAGAUAUACUCCCUUAGGACUACUUCUGUAAUCCGCAUCUUUCAAAUGUCAAACAACCUCUUUACAUUUUUAAGCCCUAUCAUCCAACUAGAGUUGUGUUUCAAUUGCUUUCUUGAGUAGUCAGUGCUGGGUGAUCUUGGUCGAUUUUAAUAGAUGAUUAUUUUCAGGCUAGGUCUCUCUUUCCAUGCACCUUUCCGUGAGUAGGGAUUUUAUUUGUUUCCCAUCGAAUUGGCACACAAAAAAUCAGCUAAAUAAUUUAACUUGUUAUCAGCAUUAAGCUGUUCCUGAUCUCAUCUAUUUGAGGAAAAGAUGUUUGUAUUAGCACUUGAGCCACAUCCGUAUAAUCCGAAUAAUUAAUUAGAGUGACUUGCUCAUAGUAUAAGACCUGUAACUUACCUGUUAGUUUGUUCAACAUAGACAUGUAGUAUUGGUAAUAACAUGCAACACAGUUACUCUUUAGGCACUUGAUUUGGCAUAUACGCCUAGUUUUUAAACAAAACCCAUGUUGAUAGCAAAGCCAACUUGUGGGCAUUGAUUAAGCUACUCCUACACUGCCUACGAACUGACUGAAUUAGACUUGUCUUAAAGUUAUGCGAAAUAGUUAAGAGGUUCGAGUGACCAUAACAUGCUGAGUGUUAUAGUUUAUAUUAUUUGCAUAUCUCUGUGUACAUGGUCCUCUUAUUAAAGCAAAAUGCUCUUUCUGUGUGCGGCCUUCAUUUAGCUUACAAAAAAGUAUAUUCGAUGCAGAUUAAAAAAUCACUUGGUGAUUAUGAUGCUAUUCAUGUGCGGCGAGGGGAUAGGUUGAAAACCAGGAAAGAUAGAUUUGGAGUUGACAGGAGCCGUCAUCCGCAUCUCGACAGAGACACCCGCCCUGAAUUUAUACACCGGAGGAUCGCAAAAUGGAUUCCGCCUGGACGUAGUCUAUUCAUUGCUUCAGAUGAGAGGACUCCCGGCUUCUUUUCGCCUCUAUCCGCCUGGUAUCCCCUAAUCCUUUUUAAUAAUAAUCUGAUCAGUUUAUUUUGGAAUUUACUUCUCAGACCCAUACAAGUCCAAGAUACAUGCGUGUAAGUCCCUUGUCUCUUUUGAUUUUAUGGACCAUUGAUCUUAAGGACUACUAAAUUAUGAUAAGCACUUUAUGUCUAUAAAGAGUUGGGCUUUUUUUUUUUUUAAUGCAUGUAUCCUAUUUUUACUUGUUUUUCUGUUUUAUUUUGUGCCUCAUUACCUCUUAUCGCUUAACCUAAAUAUUAUUUAUAUUUCUCAGCCAUGCAAUUCUUGUCCAACAUAUAUUCAUCUAUAAUGUUACUAUUUCAGCUAAGAAACUAAAUAUUCUUGUGAUUCCACUUGGUCAAUGAAAAUGCCUGGAUAUUGCUUUCAUGUGAUUAAUCAAAAAAUUACAAUAUUUUGUCACCUGCAAAAUUGAGAAAAAGUUUUACAUUCUUGAAACAAGUUUACCUACUAUUUGGACACAUUUAUUGUUCUUCAGGUACAAAUUAGCAUACUCAUCAAACUUCAGUAGCAUAUUGGACCCGGUAAUCGAAAACAACUAUCAACUUUUCAUGGUCGAAAGGUUAAUUAUGGGAGGCGCGAAAACUUUUGUGAAGACAUUUAAGGAAGACGAGAAUGACCUUUUCCUCACAGACGAUCCGAAGAAGAAUCCGAAGAAUUGGCAAAUGCCUGUUUAUACUGACGAAGAAGACGGAAGCUGAAAAAUGGAGAAAAUGCACAAAAGUGCGCACAGCUUGCCUACAUCUUAGUGAGCUUACAAAAUUCAAAUCAGUGAAUUCGACACCUUACUGAAAUAUCGUUUUUAAAUUGGAGGUGUUACUCAUUCUUUUUUUCCUGUUUUUUUGGGGGGGCGGCGAAGAAAGAAAAAAGAAAACAAAGAUUGGAACAGUUGUAUAUUCUGCAAUGCAUAUUUUUUGUGUUACAUGACAUGGAAGAGAUUGUAAACUGUGAUUAUCGUAUUCUUGAGUAAUAGUAGUCAAAAGACAAUUUUAAGACUCAAAUUUGAAUUCGAUUUUUCUUCAUAUACAAAUUUGAAUUCGGAUUCAGAUAUACAUGCAUUCAAGUAUAGACUCAAAGCUAGGCCUGUGAUCUUGAAACAUAAUAAAAAUUUAUAUCCAAAUAUUUAUAUUAAAUAAAGUAUAAUCUUUUCAAAUAUCCAUAUCACGAUCAGUCGCUGCCGUUCCUCCUGCUACUAAGGCCCAAUUUAUAAUUUACGAAAUAAUACUAUCAAAAUUUUAUUUAGUCAAAUAAUUCUAUUUCGUAAAGAAUUAAUUAGUCAAAUAAAAUUUUAUACAUUUUUUUUAUUCUAAUUUUUAUAGAGAUAUUAAGUAAAAAAAAAAACCUUUAAAUAUCGUCCCCGUGGUUUCACACUUUUUUAUUUUAGUAUCCUAUAAUUUAAAGUGUAUCAAUUUAGUAAACCGUGAUUUUAAUUUUCUCUUUUUAUUAUUUUUUGCACUAAUUUUUUUCGUUAAAUCGGUGUUAAAUCGGUGAUAUAGUUAAAACUAAAAAAUACUAAAAUGAGAAUAUUCGAUAAAUUUAGAUAGAAUAUCUGAAGUAUUUUUAUAUAUCAUUUAACGAAAUAUUAAUGAAGAAGCUGACGAAAAAAAAAAAAAAAAAGUACUAAAUUGUUAUUACACUUUAAACUAUACGUACUAAAAUAAAAAAUUACAAAAUAAUAGGAUGAUAUUUAAAAUUUACCCAAAAAAAACAAGGAAGAAAAAUCCUUUGGCCCGAAGGCAUUCCCCCGUCGCUUUCAGCCAGUGGCAUCUGCGUCGCGCAGGGCCGCUAAAUCGGUCGGCUGUCUUUACACGGGCACGGAUCCACUGGCGCCACGCGGCCCAAUGGGAAAUCAGAUUUAGAUGGAAUUUCUUCUCAGCCACACACACCGACACAUGAUACAUCACACAUACAUCCUCCCUCACCCACAAAACCAACCAUCUAUACAACUUCUCGGAGAAGCUCCUCCCCCCUCUUUCCCAAUUUCCUCCCCCCUUAUCCACAAGCGCUUCUCCUCAGUGUUUUUUUUUUUCUCCUUUUUUUUUUUCAAAAAAGAGAUCUUUCUUUUUGUUUAUUGAUCCCUCCAUCUCUUCUUCCACCACCAAAUUACAGUAAGAAUCCUUAAAUUCUUCUUCUUCUUCUUCUUCUUCUUCUUUUGAACUUUUUCUUCUUUUUUAGUUGUUUAAGGGUGCUUGCUUUUGAGGUUUAUUUGAUUUUUACCUGCUUUUCUUGGGUCGGUUUGGGAUUUUGGAUCUUGGAUUUUGGAUUAUGGAUGAUCGUGCUUUGUAAUUUUAGUUCUUCUUUGUGGGUUUUACUUUUCUUUUUCUCAUGUAAGUUAUAAGUGGAUCUGUGCCCUUUUUUCUUCACUUGAUUUCUUUUUUCCUUCUUAUUCGAGUCUUUUUCUGAAAAGAUUAAAUUACUACUAGUAUGAAUCUAUGCUUUCUAGCUUAGUUUUACUUUUGGAUCUUACUUUUUUUUAAAAAAAAAAGAAAUUUAACUUGAUUUUUCCUGAUAUGAUGAUCGAUGUUUAGAAUUUUGCUUAAAAAAAGGCCAUAUAUAUAUAAAUAUAAAUGAGAAAAACCAAUUGUUGUGGAUGCGAAAUUACCAUGUUUUUAUAGUUUUAUUAGCUUUGUAUUCCCCAUUUUUGCUUACUCUGCUAGAAAAAUGAAAGUGAAAAUUAUCAACUAACAGGUCUUGAUCAUGUGGAAUUUCUUCAGAUCCACAUGAAAAAAGAGAAAUUGCAAAAUUUUACUACCAUCGCGAGUGUUUCGAUUGCUUAUGUUGAGCAGAUUCGAUAAUCUGACAUGUUCUUAUUUACAGAUAAGCAGCAUGGAUUGGUAUUUCCUCGAAGAAAGCGACGAUUUUCUUGUCCCGAGUGAUCAAGAACCCUUUGGAGAUGUUCCUGCGUUUUCAGAUGACUGGCGUUCUUGGGCCGUCGCUCCGCCAAAAGUUUCUCAGCCGUGCGGGGAUGAUGCUCUUCUGCAGCACGGUCGAGGUUUAUAUGCUGACGAAAUGAAGCAGAGUGCAUUCAAAGAGGGAGAAAGAGGAUUCGGUGAUUCGACCGCACGGGGAGAGUCUACGCCGCUCGAUUGCUGUCCAAGAAGCUCGGAAGAAUCGUUCGAAUGUCAGACCAAGUGCGAGAUGCCGGACAACUUGGAGGAAAUGGAUAACAUUUUCUUGUGCAAGCAUAACUUCCGGGAUCCUUGGUAAAAUAUACAUAUAUAUAUAGUUUUAGCUCCUAUUGGAAAUAAAGUAGUUUGUUUUACAUAAAAAGUAGGGCUUAAAUUACAUAUCUGUAUGUUAUGUGUAAAUUAAAAUGUAGUGGAUCUUAAAUUAAGGUAUAAACAGUUAAAUAUGAUCAAGAACAUCUAAGAUGCAUGCUGAUAAAGUUCCACAAAUUUUGAAAAUCGAUUUCUUACACAUCGAGUGGUGUUAAGAUCAAUGACCCGGAAUUUACAAAAAAAGGGCUUUUUUUUAUAUAGGUCUUCAAAAAUUAUGAUUUUUUGUAAGUAGGUCUAUUUUAUGUUGUAAAUCACUUUCAAGCGGUUUAGAUCUUCAUUUUGAAACUUUUGUGAUUGGAUUUUAGCUUGUGUUAGUAGUGUGUAACUUAAAAGUGUGUAAUUGGGUCUCUACUCUAGAUAUAUUUAUCUUGCAACCUCAAAUUUUUAAAUAGGCCCUUUAGAAACUUAUUUUCGAGUAUAUAUUAACCAAUUCGUGACGAACUGGAUGACUUUCGAGUCUCAACUUAGAUAAACAUAUUUUUAUAGCUGCAAAUAGAUGAUUUUGCCGGGAUAUAUUAAUAAAAACCCCUAAGUAGUUUGUACUUCUUUGGAUUUUGAUGUCAUGGAUGCUUAUGCAGGAAUUCAUUUCUGGAAGUAGAUACACGGAACAUGGAAAACGCAUUUGAGCCAGUACAAAUGUUCCCCGACUCUAUGUACAGGUCGUUGUCGUUUGAGAAUAUAUUGGCGACUAUGCUCGCCGAUCCACAAAAUCAUUCGGCAAGUUUAAGUAGAAGUGAAAGUAUGAAUGAUCUUGAAGCCUGUGGAAUUCCUCUGUUCCCUAAUGACCUGUCGGAAGAUUUCGAGAAGACUGAUGACUGCUCAUCUUCAUGCGUGAAUAUGCCAGACGGGUCUGUAAUACUUCGUGCCGAGGUAAAAUCAUCUGUCGUUUCGUUAAUUGAUAAGGUCGUGUUGAUGCAUAUUUACCAAAAGAAUUGAUGAAAGAUUAGACAUUCUGUUCGAAUUCUCUUUAGCCAUUAAACUUGCCAUAUUUUAGGUUUUAUUUGCUCUAUGCUUCGAGUCCUUAGUUUUGAGGUUUGAAAUGUAGUAUCUUGGAUUUCGAGUUUCUGCUGAAUUGUUAAUGUACAGAAGAAAACUAAAUGCUAGUAUUCGAAUUUCGAUCACCUUUAAUCUGCUGUCUCAUAGCUGGUUUUCACACACAUUUUUGUUGAUAGUUUAUUAAUUCCUUAAUUAUUAUUUAACCUUACUUCCUUUGGAUGAGAAAUGUCCUUAUAUUCUUAUUAUUAUCAUGUUCCAGAGAGGCAUGACCUUGGGUGCUUCAUGUUUAGUGUAAUUUCACUCUCAGGAUUCGGAUCCCUACAUAUUCGUUCCGGCUGAAGUUAGACCAACAAGUGAGAGCAAAUUAGUUGCUGCUGAUGCAGAGAAGCCUAAAUGUUCGGAGGCGACAGUGCUGCGAGAGCUUGAAGAUGCAAUAUUGCUGGUAAAUUCAACAACGAAUCCUACGUCGUUUUCCCCUAAAUUCAUUUCGUGUUUCUGAAGUAUGCCAAUUGAACAGCUAAAUGAGGAGACGAGGAUUUGCUUCCGCGAUUCUUUGUACAGACUUGCUAGUAGUUCGAAAGACAAAAAACGCAAAAGAGAUGAAAGCAGAAUCACGGAGACGACUGUUGUCGCUUCGGCUCCAAAGAUGAAGGGUGUAAGUUCAAGGUAUGCCGCGAAAAUUUUCCUUGUUGCUAGUUCGGAGCUUCUGUAUCUGACAUUUUCCUAGUUGCUGGUUCAUGCUAAUAAGUAACAUAAUGUCUAAUCCUGUAUUAAUGGUAAUUCCUUCUCUUGUUUUUUGUAAUCCAUCGGAACUUUUGGCAUCGUUAUACCAUUCCGACAAAUGUAUCGACACAAUAAAGGCUUAAAUACAAAUAACCCCCCUUCAAUUUUCGCCGUGUAUAUAAAAUUGCAUCAAUUUUGAUCCUUAACUUUACAAAUGUCUGAAAUAGGCAGAAGGACAUUAUUAGUUGUGUGAAUCUGCAACUAGCUUAUCUUUACGAAAUAAAACAGGAGUUUUUCACAAACUUUGGUAAUUUAAAUCUGCAAGCCACCUACUCGCAUUUGCGCGCGUUUUCUUCUUCUUUAUCUUGCUUACUCAAGUCAUUAUUACUCAUUUCAGGGCAAAUAAAUCUGAGUGCACGGAAACGGAGACCAACAUAAUCGAUAGGACUGUCGCGAACCUCGUGUUCAAUCAGUCAUUUGCUGGCUCUUCAGACGCGAAAAAUCCUGUGCUGGCUUCGUAAGUGAAAGGAAAAUCAUUCGGCAGUUUCGGGCUCGUGCACCAAGUCAGAUCUUCCAUGACCAACUCUACUCUAUUGUAUGAGUGAUAAGUUGCACCAUGGAUCUUUUUGAGCAAGUAACAAGAAGCAAUGAGUAGGAACAAGUUAUUACUUUUUGUAACUUAUCUAAACUUUGGAUCAUUUUGAAUUGACUACGUAAACUUUCGAAAGGUUGAUUUUACUAUCCAACCUGUCAAUCUGUUUAAUUUCAGUCAGUCGACGAUGCUUCGACUUCAAAAUUUAAGUUUAUUAAAACAAGCAAUUAUCUCAAACUUUGAAAUCAAAGUAUCGUCGACUGACUUAAAGCAAACAAAUUGAAAAUUCGAAUAGUAAAAUUGAAGUUUUGAAAGGUGGGUAGUUGAGUCAAAAGGUUGUAAAUUUUUACCUUGUAUUGAUCCAUCUAGUUUGAGCAGACAUUUUUGUGCAGAUCUCGUGAUGUUAUUGUAUAUGUCAAAAGGAUGUGUAGUUGUAAAAAUAUGAGAUGCCACCAAAAUUGGAGAUUAUAAUUUUGGAUAAUGUUCUAUGAUGACCUCUCCUAAAUGCUUUGCUUAUACUCUGGACUGGAUGAUCUGUUCUUUUUGUUUUUCUUUAAUUUGUAGGCUAGAUUAUGAAGGGGUAAAUUGCACUAUUGGUUCUCAAACUACGUGGCGCAUGAUAUUUUGUUUCUCGAACUUUUAAUUUAUUACAAUUACAGCUGGCUUGAAUUUCUAAAAUGUGGUUGCGAUUAAGUCCUACAAUAUAAUUUAGUUGACUAAAUGGUAAUAUGCCGGUGAUGUAACUAUAACAUAAUAGUAUACAACACUGUCAUAUUAGCGACACAUUAUUUGUCAAUCAACUAAAUUAUAUUGUAGAAUUUAAUCACAAUAAUUUAAAAAGUUUAAACCAGUUAUAACAAUAAAUUAAAUUUUGAGGACCAAAUUAUUACCUACCUUACAAAUUGAGGACCAAAAGUGCAAUUUAGCCAUUGUAAACUUCAGUGCAAGCAGUUAAAAUAAGGGAAGAUUUUGGGUGAAGGCCCCUGAGUUAAUUAAUUAAUUAAUUUGUUAAGCCCAGUUUGAAUGUCGGAAUAAAUUAUGUGAUAAUAACUGAUUCGAUAUAUAAGAAUUUUCUAUUGAGAUUAAAAACUUGGUUUAGACAUUGUUUUAGUAACAUAAAGAAGAAAAAAAAAGAAUAAAAAAAUUCAAAUAAUUACAUUGAGAAGUAAAUAGAGAAAAUAAUAAUUAAUAAAAGGGCGAGAUUUUGGCAAGAUAAGUGUUGGGUUAGUGAUAUCAAAUUUACUUAUUAGCCUAAUUGGUUUUAUUUUGGAUUUGGUUCAACAACUCAUGUAAUGGGCUAGUUAGUAUUUGGUUUGGGCUUUAGUUGACCCAUUUGGUAUGUUAAGCCAAGUGGAGUUAAGAGAGAACUCUUUGGCUGCGUUUGGUUGGAGACUAGAUUUUGGAGAACAACUUUUGUUGUUCCCGAGAACAGUGGAUAUUCCGGUACAAGAUAGAACAAUUGUAAAUUUGUGUUUGGAUGAAUUCGAGAAUAUUCUAGAGGAUAUCCUUAAUAGCGUUCGGAUAAAAAGUCUAGAACAACGUCUAAAUAUAUUUUUAAAAAUAAAAUAAUUAAUUUAUAUUAGUAUAUUUUAUAUAAAAUUAUUUAUAAAAUUAUUUCAUAUAGUAAUUUAUAAUAUAAUAUUUUAUGUAAGAAUCUAAUUUAAAAUAAUAUAUUUUAUUUUAUUAUAUAUAAUAAUUUAUUUUAUGUAAUAAUUUAUUUUAUAUAAUUUAUUCAUAAUAUAUUAAUGAAUAAAGUAUAAUACUAACAAUAUCCCUAUAUUUUUAAUUAAUAAUUAGUAUAAAUUUCAAUACAAAUGGCGGAAUGACUGUUAUUUAUAGUACUGUAAAAUUGGUCUCAACGGUGAAACAACCAUCUAGAAACGGGCACGACGGCCUAUGACACUAUCGGUAUAUUCAGAAUAUUACGAUCUGUUAAUCUCCCCAUGCUAACAAACUCCAACUACCCACCUAAUUGGUUUUGGCCAAAUUACAAGGGGUUUGGUACAGUAACCUGGCUUUCCGCAACACUAACAAACAGUGACAUCCCUUGCAAAUCUUGAAUUUUUGAUUUGAAGAGCUUAUGCGGCUAAAACCUCUUUAAUUGCGUUUUGAAGAUGGCUCUUUCGGCGAAAGUGUUUACAUCUUGGUCCGUGGCAUGUGAAAGUCAUGGUAACUAUUCGUUAUCAUCAAGAGGACAGUGAUUAAGAGCAAGUUGAAUCUUCAUCCAAUAUGAAAAGCCAACUAGGGAACUCUUACUCCAGAAGCACAUCUAAUAAAUGCCAACUUCGCAACCAACCGCAAAAAGACCACAGACAACAUUAUUUCAAGUGCAAAAAUUCCAAGUACUUAGAUCCUGCUCAAACAAAUAUCUAGGUUUAGACUUUUGAUAAGUAACACAUUUUGACCUAAUUAUUGUACUAUAAUAAGAAUCAUCUGUCAUCUCUUUGAUAAGAAAUGCUAAAACUUGCCGAAGCAAAGGUAGGGGAGAUGAGAGGUCAUAGUAACUUCUGGAAUCAUUGCAGGCCUUCAGAAGAAACAAUUCCAGCAGGAUGCGAUACCUAGGUAUUAAUGGGCUAUACACUUAUAGAUUCCAAAAGCCUCUCGACUUUGUGCCAAAGAUUACCUAAAAGCGUGACAAAUUCAAGCGUUAAUGCAGCGUAUCAGAUCUAUUGUUCUCCAUCUCAUCUCGCCCUCAUCAAAUCAACAUAUGCCGAAUCCAUGAUCGCGCUUCUCGCGUGGUCAACUUUGAUUGUGCGACCCAUGAAUCUUCUACGCUGUUUUGGAAUGUCACGCUCAUGACCGUCUUUCCAAUACACGAGUACUCGGCCUCUCGACUGUUUCCAGUUGAACAGUGGUGAUAUCUCAUAACAUUAUAAGGCAGAGAUACUAUAUAUCGCCGAUACUGUACCCAAUACAAUGAGCUACUAAACGCUAUUCAAUGCUAGGCUGUUGUGUAUUGAGCCACUAUUAUAUAGAUCGAAUAUCAGAGACGUAAAAAAAACUCCAAAAGUGAGCCCCAUGUCAAGUAACAAUAACAAUUAGCAAAACAAAAAUUUUAGUUUAAGUAAACCUAGUUUAAGAAAUCUAUGUUCAUAUUUAUAGAUAAUAAAUGACUCUUCAAGGGAAAAGAUGUAAUCAAAUAUUGCACAACAGUCGUGGAGUCUGUUUCUGCAAUAUGCCUAUAAAUUACAGCUUACCAGCCGGAAUCAUGACAUUCUUGUGCCUCUAACCCAUGCAUCACUCUAUGGCCUAAUUGUUAGAUAGAUAGUAGAUUAUAAGGCAACCUGCAACUGAAGAAAGCAAGCAUCACCCCGAUUGCAAGCUGAAUUGCUCUCAUGUAUCUUAUUCACUAUAUUUGAUUCAUGGCAAUCGAUGUGCUUAUACAUUGCUUCAGUUUAUAUCUCAAAGGGACUUAUAUCACUGUGUAGGAUUUAUUAAAAACAUAUAAAAGUGACUGGUAUCAUAUCCUUUAUUCUGUCUAUACCNNNNNNNNNNNNNNNNNNNNNNNNNNNNNNNNNNNNNNNNNNNNNNNNNNNNNNNNNNNNNNNNNNNNNNNNNNNNNNNNNNNNNNNNNNNNNNNNNNNNNNNNNNNNNNNNNNNNNNNNNNNNNNNNNNNNNNNNNNNNNNNNNNNNNNNNNNNNNNNNNNNNNNNNNNNNNNNNNNNNNNNNNNNNNNNNNNNNNNNNNNNNNNNNNNNNNNNNNNNNNNNNNNNNNNNNNNNNNNNNNNNNNNNNNNNNNNNNNNNNNNNNNNNNNNNNNNNNNNNNNNNNNNNNNNNNNNNNNNNNNNNNNNNNNNNNNNNNNNAUACUUUGAUCAAUAGAGAACAUUGCAUAAAGUAUGACAGCAUCAUAGCUCAGCAUGUAUGAAUCGUCAUUUGAAUUGAACUGGCGGCAACAUUUGGCUAAUACCAUGCUUCCAAGCCACAAAACAUCUGAUUCCACCAUGCAUCAUAGGUAAUGGGAUGAUUUCAUCGGAAUCCAUAUUGGGACUGAAAAACACCAAUAACCGAGUAAAGGCAACAAAUUAAACCCAAAAAGGAACUAAAAAGCUCACCUCCAGGCUCCAAGUAUGCGGAUAAUAGAACGUUUUUAUAUCAUAGUCAAGUAGGGACUAGAGAUCCUCAAGGCCCAACUAUUAUCGAGAAGAUUUUGCAUCUCACAACAGAGACAUAUAUAGAACAUCAAAAAGGCCACUUACUUGUCUUAGGUGGAAGUAGAUAAAGAGUAGUAAUGGAGGGACUUGACAAGUCAAGCAAGCUUCAGAGAUGUAUUAACUUGCAGCCGAAAAAAUUGACUCAAUUAAUAACAAAUCUGCACAGGAAAUCGAGCAGUAUCCAUCCAUUCUUGAGAGGGAGAUGCAGAUGCACAUUAAACAACUCCAAUUAAUGUUGGUUUUGAAGAAGAGAAGAAGAUGAGGCCUCUCGAGGCGAGUCGACAACUCGAAGCAACACAAUCCAAGAAGGAUCUAACUUUCUACUUUGCAUCCGAGGGAAAUCACCUGAAUUUAUUGAAGAUCUGCACAAGGAACUGAAGAUCGGCUACCAAUUGAUGAGGUUGGGAGGUAGAUUGAAAUCGCUACCAAUUGAUGAGGUUGGGAGGCAGAUUGAAAUCAUUCCCACAUAGUUAAUGCUGGUUUUAAGCUCCAGAGGAAGGAUUAGGUUUAAUAUGGAGUUAAUAUGAAAGAGAAAAAACCGGCGGCGUUGAAAAGUGAAGAGAGCUGAGAAGAAGAGGAGUAGGUGAGAGGAUGGAGUUAAGAGGGAUUUGAGGAGGAAGAAGAAGGCUUCAGCAGGGGAAAGAGACGACAAUGGCAUAGAAUGGGUAGGUGAGUUGGUGGAGAGGAGAGUAAAGUUGCUCGGGUUUCGAGAAAAUUUAUUUUUUACUACAUCUACCCCUGCAAUUCUCGAGAUUUAAUCCUUAUUCGAGGGGUGAGGAUGAAUAAAAUUAACGGGUUAUUCCAUGAUAUUCUG